GAUGAACGCUGGCGGCAUGCUUAACACAUGCCAGUCGGACGGGAAGUGGUGUUUCUUGUGGCGGUCGGGUUAGUAACGCGUAAGAACCUGCCCUUUGGAUGGGAACAACAGCUGGAAACGGCUGCUAAUACCCCGUACGCUGAGUAGCAAAAGGAGUAAUCCGCCCGAGGAGGGGCUCGCGUCUGAUUAUCUAGCUGGUGAAGCAAUAGCUUACCAAGGCGAUGAUCAGUAUAUGUUGCGAGAGGAAGACCGGCCACACUGGGACGGAGCCACGGCGCAGGCAACUACGGGAGACAGGAGAGGGGAAUACGGAGCAAUGGGGGAAAGGGUGACAGGGCAAUGGGGCGGGAAGGUAGAGGGACUAGGGGUGAAGAACUUCUUUACCAGGAGAAGAAGCAAUGACGGUACCUGGGGAAUAAGCAUCGGCUAACUCUGUG
rnacentral:rRNA from 1 species